AAACGCACAAUUUAAGAACUUGUAAUGUCUGUGAUUUACAAUAUAGGCUGAAAAACGUUCUGUUUUGAAGCUAGUACUGUUUAUUUGCUGAUGGUUUUAUGAGUGUCAUAGUUGUGCGAUAUAGAUCAAGUAACGAAUCGUUUCAAAGUAUUUCGUAAUCCUAACACCACGCAAAGGUGCUGAUCUCGAUUUUUAAACGGUUGUCACACAAUU
rnacentral:misc_RNA from 1 species